rnacentral:rRNA from 1 species
GAUUCUGGCUCAGGAUUAACGCUGGCGGCGUGCCUAAUACAUGCAAGUCGAAUGGUAGUAGCAAUACAAACCAUGGCGAACGGGUGAGUAACACGUAGGCAACCUGACUUUAAGACGAGGAUAACCGUUGGAAACGACGGAUAAUACUGGAUAGGACAUCACAAAGGGCAUCCUUAGAUGUUUAAAGGUUAUUAUGCCACUUAGAGAGGGGCCUGCGGCGCAUUAGCUAGUUGGUGAGAUAACAGCCCACCAAGGCGAUGAUGCGUAGCCGGACUGAGAGGUUGAACGGCCACAAUGGAACUGAGAACGGUCCAUACUCCUACGGGAGGCAGCAGUAGGGAAUUUUCGGCAAUGGGCGCAAGCCUGACCGAGCAACGCCGCGUGAACGAAGAAGUUAUUCGUAAUGUAAAGUUCUUUUAUCUGGGAAGAAAAACAAAUUGACGGUACCAGAUGAAUAAGCUCCGGCUAACUACGUGCCAGCAGCGGC